CUGAAGCUGAAGAAGUUUCAUGGCCUCCAAGGGAUCCUGAAGCUCUCAUAUUGAUGGAAAAAUAAAUUGGAGAGGAAGCUCUCGGAGGCAGCAGGGAGAGAGGUGGUUCUUUGGUUCAUGGAAGAGAAGGCAGAUGACAUCACGAAGCAGAUAAAUACUUGCAAUGGUUUUUAUUGUGAUAGCUUCAAGCCAAACAAUGAAACGAGUCCUAAGAUGUGGACAGAAAAUUGGAC